UCUUAUAAAUGAGUAAAGAAAGUGGUUUCUUGAGAUGGAAACUACUCCUGGAAAAGAUGAUGUGAA
rnacentral:pre_miRNA from 1 species